UGUAAAGACAAAAUAUAUUUCAUGUUUGAAGCAUAUACAUUUGUAAAUGAUAUGCUGAAAGACAUUCUGUGAUUAGAUGAUGACUUGUGAAAAUGUUCUGCUUAUCAAAUAUGAUAGUAAUGAAAUGGAUAUCACAGCGCUCUGAGGUCACAACUAAAACAGAUUAAUUUGGAGAUUUUGCACCAAUUCAAAAAUGCAUAAAAUUUUCCUUGAUACAAAGUGUUUAUAUAUAUAUGUAAAAUGGCUUAUUUAAUAUAAGGUAAAAACUUAAUAUAGAAAUAUAAACCAUAUCAAACUUGUCGAUUCUCCUACAAAUUAAACUUUGGGAAAGCAUCAGCAUGAAAUUAGACUUCGUCCCUAUUCACAGUUUGAAGAUACAUUUGAGUAGGACAUUUUUUGAGUUUCUAUUUUUUUUUGAAAUUACAAAUAAAAACAAAGGAUGUUUGCUACAAAAUUGAUUAAAAUGUUCUGUAAAAUAUAUGAAGACAAAAUCUAUUUCAUGUUUGAAGCAUAUAUAAAUGAUAUGCUCAAAGACAUUCUGUGAUAAGAUGAUGACUUGUGAAAAUGUUCUGCUUAUCAAAUAUGAUAGUAAUGAAAUAAAUAUCACAGCGCUCUGAGGUCACAGAACUGUUUCCAUCUAGGGUAUUAUUAAUGCAGCUCUUUUUCUUCGGUAUACAGCAAGUGAAUUUUCAUUUAAUGUCAUAUUAUUUGAAUGUUUAUUGAAGAAAAGUAAAAUUGAUAAAUAUUGAAGUGAAACAAAGUUUUUUGUUAGACAUAAUUUUUUCAAGGAAUCAUGUCAUUGCAUUUGAAGCACUUGGUACAUAAUCAAGACUGUCAUUUUCAUUUCUCAAUUUCUGUAACUAUGACGACAAGAUGAUGACUUGUGAAAAUGUUCUGCUUAUCAAAUAUGAUAGUAAUGAAAUGGAUAUCACAGCGCUCUGAGGUCACAGAACUGUUUCCAUCUAGGGUAUUAUUAAUGCAGCUCUUCUUUUAGGUAUACAACAAGUAAAUUUUCAUUUAAUGUCAUAUUAUUUUGAAGGUUUAUUGAAGAAAAGUAAAAUUGAUAAAUAUUGUAGUGAAACAAAGUUUUUUGUAAGACAUAAUUUUUUCAAGGAAUCAUGUCAUUGAAUUUGAAGCACUUGGUACAUAAUCAAUACUGUCAGUUUCAUUUCUCAAUUUCUGUAAGUAUGAUGACAAGAUGAUGACUUGUGAAAAUGUUCUGCUUAUCAAAUAUGAUAGUAAUGAAAUGGAUAUCACAGCGCUCUGAGGU